GACGAACGCUGGCGGCGUGCCUAAUACAUGCAAGUAGAACGCACAGUUUAUACCGUAGCUUGCUACACCAUAGACUGUGAGUUGCGAACGGGUGAGUAACGCGUAGGUAACCUGCCUGGUAGCGGGGGAUAACUAUUGGAAACGAUAGCUAAUACCGCAUAAUAUUAAUUAUUGCAUGAUAAUUGAUUGAAAGAUGCAACUGCAUCACUACCAGAUGGACCUGCGUUGUAUUAGCUAGUAGGUGAGGUAACGGCUCACCUAGGCGACGAUACAUAGCCGACCUGAGAGGGGUAUCGGCCACACUGGGACUGAGACACGGCCCAGACUCCUACGGGAGGCAGCAGGAGGGAAUCUUCGGCAAUGGACGAAAGUCUGAACGAGCAACGCCGCGGGAGUGAAGAAGGUUUUCGGAUCGUAAAGCUCUGUUGUAAGAGAAGAACGGGUGUGAGAGUGGAAAGUUCACACUGUGACGGUAGCUUACCAGAAAGGGACGGCUAACUACGUG
rnacentral:rRNA from 1 species